UAUUUUUUUUAUUAUUAUUUAAGUAUUUUAAACCAUUUGAGUCCAGGUUUUUUCUCCUAAUUUUUCAGUUUUUUAAAAUUCCAUCAUGUGGAUUCAGCGGGUAAUUACUGCACAUGUCUGAUAAUUCUGUUGUAGAAAGAAUGAGCAGUUUUAAUAUUCUAGUACUCUGUAUUCUGAUGUACUGCCACCAAGGUGACUACACUGAUAAGAGGGUUAAUGUGUGAAGGUUAUUUAGGCUCUAAACGUUACACUUUGUGGCAUGUUUGAUUGAUUUAGAUCAGAUUAAUAGACAUAUCAACACUCGUUUAUUCCUGAAAAGUGUGGUAGCAAAAACUCAAACCACACAGCCAAGAGACACAGAGCCAUUCAGAGGCCAGAUUUCAGUUUACCAUUAACAUAAACCAGUGUGUGUAGUGUCUGACAUUAACCAAUCAAAUCUAAACAAUUUGAUUGUUUUCUUCUAUUAAUUUUUAUUAUUACUACUUUUAUGACUAACCUUAAUAAUGAUAAUAAUAAAUUUGAAACGCCGGUCAAUGAUUCGUUUAAGAAAUAUUACGUCACACUUAGCCGCGAUCGUGAUUGGACCAUCCGAGCGUAAUCCCGGAAGUUGAUAAGAUGUAAGAUGGCUCUGCUACGCUGUAGGCGAGACCCGUGCGGGUUUAUCUGUCUCAUUCUCACUUAUUUUAGUGUAUUUUACGCCGACUACGUUGUUAUCCAGUAUGUUCUGAUCCCAGCCUACUCUGGAAGUAUAUGGUGCACACUUCAUGGAUCUGUCUUUAAUGUCAUAUUACUGCUACUUCUGGUUUGUCAUUCAAAAGCUGUGUUCUCUGACCCAGGUAUGGUUCCUCUUCCUGAGACAGCCAUUGAUUUCUCAGACUUGAGGUCUCAGUCCAGUCGUGUGAAUGACCGGGGUUGUGAAGGCUGGACUGUGUGUAGUCGUUGUGAAACAUAUCGUCCUCCUCGUGCACAUCACUGUAGAGUGUGUCAGCGCUGCAUCAGACGCAUGGAUCACCACUGCCCGUGGAUCAAUAAUUGUGUUGGAGAGCUCAACCAGAAGUACUUCGUCCAAUUUCUCUUUUAUACUGGCAUGGCCAGCCUGUACUCCAUGGCUCUGGUGGUGUCAGCAUGGGUGUGGCGUAUACGAAGUGAAAGAGAUGGAGAAAACGGAGGAGAGGAUGUUCCCAGUAAGCAUCUAAUAGUGGCACAUUACAUCAUCUUGUUAGUGGAGUCCAUUCUUUUUGGCGUGUUUGUCCUGGUGAUAUUUUAUGACCAGCUGGUGUCCAUUAUAACAGAUGAGACCCCUAUUGAGCAGAUGAGAAACAGACUGAUGAAGGACAGACCCAACAGCGGGCAGUCAGUGCACACCACACACACCCGAAAACCGAAAUUGGCUUUGCUGAGGGAGGUGUUUGGAAGAGAUGACUCGCCUGACCCGAACCCCAAAGAGAAUCUACGAGAGACACCAGACCCAACAAUACAGACGAGCUGAAGACCGCUAUCAAAGCAACCUGGACUUCCAGAGCACCUCAGCAGUUCCACAGGCUGAUCGCCUUCAUGCCACGCCGCACUGAUGCAGUCAUUCAUGCAAAAGGAUUAAAGCCCCGACCAGGCUCUGUGCUGUGUUGGCUGUUACCAUUCCAGUCCUCUCCCCCGGCCACUGGAGGAAUCAGUUACUCACCUGUUCCUGAUUACGACGUGUAACGAUGUCCGACGUCAGCAUUACUUUAGUUUGGAUGAAGGAAGGAUGAGUGUGUUUAUAAGUGUAGCACUGUGUGUUAUGUAGUAACUCUUAAAAUCUGUGUACACACUCAGUGGUAUCAAGUGGCAAGAGCUAUUAAGUGAGAAAUGUCUCUUUCUUUCUUCCUUCCUCUCUCUCUCUCAUAGCUAUAUGAGGUGUCGUUAUUGGUCAUCAUGGCCUCAUAAUAGUUUAUUGUUGCAAAUAUAACAAACAUAGGAAUAGGGAUGCUCUAUUGCAUAAUAACAUACCAAAUUAUUCAUUUAUUAUAAAUAAUUAUGUAACUAAUCUUGGCAGGCUGUAAUUAUAUUAGCUAAUAUAAAAUCUGUUCCACGGUCGUAUCUGGUACGUAUAAGAGCAGGUUGGUUUAAUGCAUGAAAAAUCCAUCAAUUUCUUCAAAUUUACUUUUGCAAAUAAAUGCUAAACACUUUAACAUCAAAUGUUAUAAUAUACUUGAAUAUAGAUUCUGAGAAGGUUCCAGAAGUUCCUGAACAUGCUGUAUUGGUGUUGAAAUACAGUAGAAAUUGAAGCAGCAGUAUAUCUAACACCAACACUGUGUUAAUGAAAUCAGAGCCCGUCCUAAAGUGCGAUAAAGUCUUCAUUGUUUGGGGCUUUUAAUUAAACAAUGUUAACAAACCCACUAAACAUUGUCUUGCACUUAAAGUGAUCGUUUCUUUCUCACUUGAACAUUUGUUUUUUAUUUAUUUAUUUUUAUUGAGUGAUCGGUCAGUCACUUGGUUUAGGGUCUAUAGGUGUUGUAGAUUUUAAAUGUGUAUAUAAAUGUAUUUUGUAGAAUUCAAUGUGGGGAAAUGUUGGAGCAUUUUCAGGGUACUGGUUUCAGUUAUUCAAGUGCUUUUUUUUGUAGUAUCAUUUGUUAUACAUUUGUUUUGACAGAUUGAAGGACGUGUGCGUAUAUGUGGUGAAUGUAAUAUGUUUACACUGAUAUUUAUUGUACUUUAACUGUCUAAAUGCUGCUGAAUUAAACAAAAGGACAUCUUUUCAUAUUAUGGCAUUUUGGCUCUGCAUAAUCAAAUCAGCAGUAUGUAUUUUUUUGAUUAUUCAAAAAUGUGACUAAAUUUCAAGUCAAUUCUAUGAUUUCUUUAAAAAAAAUGUUUUUAUACAAUUGCUAAAAAGAUUUAUGCACUGCCAAGUUCACUUUUUCAAAACUACACAUUUUCAAAACAUUAAAAACUACUGGCAUUACAGUAGGUGAAUUAUU